CUUGUCUGAGUCGUAAGUCUGCGAAAUUCAUUUCAUUCAACGUUAAAAAAGCGAUCAUCUCAUUCGAAUGAUAGGUAAAUUAUGCCAAAUGUGUGGAGCGAUGCGUCGAAUCGAGCAGAAGGAGACGCUAACAAUCGUGCAGAUUAGUCAGACGUACACGCCGACAAACGAGCCCCAGCGACCUCGGCAGACGUACUUUUUCCGCUAAAUUUUCACUCAACCACUUAGUCACUGGUGGCCGGCGUUAAGUACUUUUUAACCGCCAGGUACCUUGCUGAAUUCGUCCGAUGAUCACCGACAUGAUCGCAAACGUAACUGGAGAGAGAUCAAUGAACUUAUAAAACGCUUCUUACUGCCGCUGGCUCUCGCAAUGUUUAAUAAUUACAACGGUCGAAGCAACGGUGCUGGGAUGG
rnacentral:lncRNA from 1 species